rnacentral:rRNA from 1 species
GGGUGAGUAACGCGUGAGAAUCUGCCUCUAGGUCGGGGACAACAACUGGAAACGGUUGCUAAUACCCGAUGUGCAGCAAUGUGAAAGAUUUAUUGCCUAGAGAUGAGCUCGCGUCUGAUUAGCUAGUAGGUGUGGUAAUGGCGCACCUAGGCGACGAUCAGUAACUGGUCUGAGAGGAUGACCAGUCACACUGGGACUGAGACACGGCCCAGACUCCUACGGGAGGCAGCAGUGGGGAAUUUUCCGCAAUGGGCGAAAGCCUGACGGAGCAAUACCGCGUGAGGGACGAAGGCUUUUGGGUCGUAAACCUCUUUUCCCUGAGAAGAAGAUCUGACGGUAUCAGGGGAAUCAGCAUCGGCUAACUUCGUGCCAGCAGCCGCGGUAAUACGAGGGAUGCAAGCGUUAUCCGGAAUUAUUGGGCGUAAAGCGUCCGCAGGUGGCUCAGUAAGUCUGUAGUUAAAUAAUGGGGCUCA